rnacentral:rRNA from 1 species
UACGAAGGGGGCUAGCGUUGCUCGGACUCACUGGGCGUAAAGGGUGCGUAGGCGGGUUUCUAAGUCAGAGGUGAAAGCCUGGAGCUCAACUCCAGAACUGCCUUUGAUACUGGAAGUCUUGAGUUCGGGAGAGGUGAGUGGAACUGCGAGUGUAGAGGUGAAAUUCGUAGAUAUUCGCAAGAACACCAGUGGCGAAGGCGGCUCACUGGCCCGAUACUGACGCUGAGGUGCGAAAGCGUGGGGAGCAAACAGG